GUGGCUGCGGUGUAAUGGUUCGAAUGUUGGACUAUGACUCUGGAGACCAGGGUUCGAAUCCCUCUGCCAUG